rnacentral:lncRNA from 13 species
AUGGCACCCAGUGCUGUCCUUGGGGACCCGGCCCAGUGUGGGAGAGCGGUCGGUGUGAUCUGUGCUGCUGGGAAUGCUGCAGGUGAUGCUGGGCGGGCUGGGAGCUCCUGCUCUGCAGUGUCCACCCCAUCCCUGGGUGGGCAGAGGGGGUGGUGCUGGGAGCUGCCAGCAUUGCACCUGGCAUCCCAGGUACCUGGCUUGGCCUGGCUGAAGUGCCCCUGGGCGGUGGGAGAAGCUGUGACAGGUGCAAGCAGGGGAGAAUGUGUUCUUGUGACUCCCCUGGGAAGGACUUUGUGUCAGGGAGAAGCAGGGCAGUGCAGGGAUAUGAAUCCCAUGGAUGCUGACACCUUGACACCCUCCUCCUCCUCCUCAGCCCUGUCUACCAUUACAGCUGCCUUGUCCUCAGGCUCUUGCUUCUCCCUGCUGCAGGAUCCUGCUGAGGGGACAUCACGGGGAUGUCCCCGUUCUCCCAGCGUGCUGUGCAGAAAUUUCCUCUCCCUCCCCAUCCACCCUCUGCCUGUCCUGCACCAGUGUUCCCUCCUGGCCCUGACCAUCGUGGGCCAAGCUGACCUGUCCCUGUGGCACUGGCAAAACACCACCCGUGCCUCUGCCACGGGCUGCCACAGCUCAGCUCUGCGUGGUCCCUUGGGAGGUCCCUGGGCAUUUGGGACCCCCAAGGCUGGGUGCUGCUUGUGCCUCUGCCACGGGCUGUCCUGGCUCAGCCCCAGGUGGCCCCUGGGUGUUCAGGACCCCCAAAGCUGUGUGCUCCUGCACCCCAGGGAUGCUGGGCUGUGUACUGUGGCCGUGCCGAAGCGGUGGCUACACUGGCAGCCUGUGGCGAGUAAGGACACCCCCACCCCCGCAGCCCUGGGGCCACGGAGCCGCCCCCCCUCUGCCCCGACCGAGAGGGACCGGGCACCCCGGGGCUCGCGGCGGCCGGUGCCGGGGGUCCCCCCCCAGCCCACCUUAAGGCAGCCGCACACCGGGUUGACCGGAGGACUCUGCCCCGGGGCGGGCGGGGCUGGCUUCGCCCCCGCCACGGGGGGAAGCGGCGCUAACCCGAGGCUGCUGCGAGCCGGAGGGGGUCUCGAAGCUGGGGCCAACUCCGUCCCUCCCCGGUACCACGGCAACGGAGGCGGCGCGGCGGCGGGGGGGAGGCGGCUCCGCGCGGCACCGGGGCACGCGCCCGCCCGGGGCCCCGCCGUGGCGGCCCCGUCAGCGGCCCAGAGCCCGGCCCGGUGCCCGCGGGCGGCGGCGGGGCCGCGGGUCCGUGUCGGUGCGUGCGUGUGCGCUGCCCGCCCGCCGCGGGGGGGGAAAGGGGGGAGCCCGGCCUCCUUCCUCAUUUUGGGGCUGAGAAGAGCGAUUUCUUUCGCCAGCUGCAGUUCUGCGCUUUUUUUUUUUUUUUUUCCCUUUUUUUUUUUUUGCCUUUUUUUUUUUUUUUAA